rnacentral:rRNA from 1 species
GACGAACGCUGGCGGCGUGCUUAACACAUGCAAGUCGAACGGAAAGGCCCUGCUUUUGUGGGGUGCUCGAGUGGCGAACGGGUGAGUAACACGUGAGUAACCUGCCCUUGACUUUGGGAUAACUUCAGGAAACUGGGGCUAAUACCGGAUAGGAGCUCCUGCUGCAUGGUGGGGGUUGGAAAGUUUCGGCGGUUGUGGAUGGACUCGCGGCUUAUCAGCUUGUUGGUGGGGUAGUGGCUUACCAAGGCUUUGACGGGUAGCCGGCCUGAGAGGGUGACCGGGCACAUUGGGACUGAGAGACGGACCAGACUCCUACGGGAGGCAGCAGGGGGGAAUAUUGCACAAUGGGCGGAAGCCUGAUGCAGCAACGCCGCGUGCGGGAUGACGGCCUUCGGGUUGUAAACCGCUUUCGCCUGUGACGAAGCGUGAGUGACGGUAAUGGGUAAAGAAGCACCGGCUAACUACGUG